rnacentral:rRNA from 1 species
GUGGGGAAUCUUGCGCAAUGGGCGAAAGCCUGACGCAGCCAUGCCGCGUGAAUGAUGAAGGUCUUAGGAUUGUAAAAUUCUUUCACCGGGGACGAUAAUGACGGUACCCGGAGAAGAAGCUCCGGCUAACUUCGUGCCAGCAGCCGCGGUAAUACGAAGGGGGCUAGCGUUGCUCGGAAUUACUGGGCGUAAAUGGCGCGUAGGCGGAUAUUUAAGUCGGGGGUGAAAGCCCGGGGCUCAACCUCGGAAUAGCCUUCGAUACUGGAUAUCUUGAGUACGGGAGAGGUGUGUGGAACUCCGAGUGUAGAGGUGAAAUUCGUAGAUAUUCGGAAGAACACCAGUGGCGAAGGCGACACACUGGCCCGUUACUGACGCUGAGGCGCGAAAGCGUGGGGAGCAAACAGGAUUAGAUACCCGAGUAGUCC